CAACAUUCCUAUUGAUGUAUAUUGCUUGCUUCCAAAGACUAUGACGCCUGUAUCCUCACACGUACAUCACCUUUAUUUUUCCUAUUCAGGAGUGGCCACAGGUACCAAAGGAUGGCACAUCAUACCAGGAAUUUGUUGAUCUAGUGCAGUGGAACUGCAAGGCAGAGUUCAGCGGUAUCGGGAUCAAAGGAUUAGGAAGCCGCAGCUUUAAGGGAGGCAAGCAGCAUGAGAAGACUUUGUGGAGGCAGCUCUGAGCAUUUUAUGUAAGCAAUCUAUUUCAGCUUCAAAGGAAGCACUGGCUAAGUGGGUGAACAACAUGUAAAGUGCUCACUUGACAUAAAUUUUUUUUUUUUUAAGUAGCUGAGAUAAAGACAGCCUCCAAUCACUGACCUUUUAUUAUUAGUCAGAGCCCUGAGUACAAGAGAGACUUCAGCAGAGGUGGCCAACGGGCGCCUGCAGAGACUCCAGGCGCGUUCUUGCCUGUUGGUGCAAUAUUUGCAGCUGCGGCACUCUCCUUCAAGUUGUUUGUUCCACUCUCUGCCUGAUGCUAUGGGUAUCUGAUUUCUAUCUCUGGAAACAGCGUGGGAGCCAUGUGGCGGUCAAGGCUGGACUUUAACUGCAAAGGAGCACAUCACAGCAAGCUCCCAGGGAGCCGGGCACAGCUCAGUAUCAGUCUUGGUUUCACUUGAAAAAUGUACAGACCUUUUAUAAAUUAUAGGAAAGAGAUAAUGGAAUCCCUAUGCAUUUACUCUUCUCUUCAUAAACCAUGGCGAGAAUUUUUUUAAAAUUCCAUGUAUUCAGACUAGUUAAAAAAUAUGGAUAGGCUUUUGCUAAUUGUACAUUUUACUUGGUUUAAUAGAUAUAUAUAUUAGAGUAGAGCUACCAUUUGCUGUAUGUCACACGUGCCAGGCUCUGGGCUACGUACUUUCCAUGUAAAAACUCACUAUUCCUAGUGAAAAACCUUUCGGUUAAGUGUUCUACCUCCUAUUUACAGAAGAAUAAAUUGAGGCCCUGCAAGGAUUAAGGAAUCUGUACAAAGUCACACGGUAAGUAAAAGAUCAAUUUUCAAAUAAUUAAAGACAAAAACAAUCAAAUGUAUUUAAUAUAAAAUAAAUAUUUGGUAAAUCAGAAAGCAGUUCCAUAGUAUAUAUUGCUUCUGCCUCAUCAUGAUAAAGUUCCAUGUUUUCAGCAUAACGAUCAGUUUUAGUCUGCUUUCUUGAUGUAAGGAUUCCAGCGCUUUUGAAAAAUAAGCUGAAUUGAUAAUGAUUUUUUAUAGGUGGUGAUAGAUUUGAUUUCUGAACAGCCUACGAAGUCUUACGUGGUUAACAUUGGGAGUGUAUUUUCACAUACACAUCAAAUUUCUUUUCAAAUUCAGUCUCAGACUAUAGCCUAUGUUUUAGACACAUUUCUGUACAUAAUUAAGCAAUUUUCAAAUAGAAAAGCGAGCCACCGCAUAAAUAGAAGACAUACUAUAGUGGUUAAUAUUGAAUUAUGGCAUAAUUAAUCAUAGAAACUCAUCUGAAUCUAAUUUAUUAGUGUUCCCCAAAAAACACCAUCUUUGAUUUCUACUAGAAAAAGAAAAGACAAAAGUAUAAAAAACAAUGCGUGUAAUGCAUUUAUCCUUCUCGUGAACAAGAAAGAGCCACGUCUCUCGUGGGUUGAAUGAGCUUUAUGAAUACUACCUUUACUCUUAAAAACAAUCCUGGUUCUUUCCUCUUUCCAGGGAGAGAAGCUAACCUUAAGGGGAGUAAUGCUGCUGUGCCUUGUCCCCCGUUUUGGUGACAUCUCCUCUGGGGACGGGCUUAAAAUUCAGGAGAGAUGAUGAGGGACAGCGACAAGGGUAGGGCCCCUGUUGGCCUCGGUUUGUCCAGUCCACACAUCACUCCCUUAGGAGGGAAGACCACCUAUAGGAAGGGGCUGGAAGGACACACAGCAGGUGAUGGUGCUCCUAUGGUCAUGCAGAGCUAAACAAGUGACCUUCCUUGUAGGGUCAUCUUCUGUGAUACACACCGGUCUACGGAGAGAGGGUACCUAGACUGAGAGAAGAGCCUGGGGCUUAGGUGCGGAGUUGGGAGCAGGAAGAGUGGGGAAGACCUGCUUGGCAAAAUAGAGUGCAGUUUGGAGAUCAGCAGAAAAGAAGUGAUUUAGGCCCUACUGCCAGUCAGGGCAUCGGAAGCCUCAGUAGGUGCUGCAGCUUGAUGAACAUGGAGUUUUGAGAAGAUUAAUAUGACAAUGAUACAAAAAAAAAAAAAAAAACUAGAGAGGGGGAAAAUGGAGGCAGCGAGACAGUUCUAAAAAAUCAGGCCCAAAUUCCUGACGUCUUAGAAAUCAGAUGAACCCCAAGAGACAUGAUUAUAAUAAUACAAAAUAUAAUAAAUACAAAAUAAUAAAAAUAAUUUGAUUAAAAUAAUCAAACAAAAUAUUUGAAGGACUGAGAUACUGGACAGAAAGUGAGAGAAGCAUAAUAAGUAAAGGCUUCCAGGCUUUGAGAGGAGAGAGUAACAGGAAGGCCACUGAGUAAAAUGGGUUGGGGGGAAAAGAAGCCUAUUUUGAACAAACUUUGGUUUUCAAUGUUGAGGUGCUGAAUUCAAGGAAAAUGCUUGCAAUCCAAGUGAAGUGAAAUCUGUAGCAUGUGAGACCAGUGUAAAGGAGACCUCUCUGAAGGGGAGAGGUCAGAGCUGAUGGUGUCGGUGUGACCGUCCAUCCGCCCGAGGGUGUGAGAGCAGGGGAUCUAGAGAGAAAAGCAGGGUGUGGCAUGUAGUGUUGCCAGCACUCAUCAUUUGGCAGGAGGGAGAGGGAAAGAGAAACCUAGAUGAAACAGGAUUCAUGGCGGAGGAUGCGGCACAGGGAGGCUGGGGAGGGCUGGAGGUUGUGGAUGCUGUGGGGACCACAGCUGCGGAGACACCUCACACUCUAUGACACAGCCUGGGUGUAGAGGAGUGGACUGAGACAUGAAUGAGUUAAUUCUACCCCACCUCCCCCUGCAGAUGACUUCACUCACCUAGGUCUCAUCAACUGAGAGAGAGAGCCAGUCUUGGAUCUCAUUCUCUUGAGAAUUGAAUACCCAUCAGUACCCCCACGGGCUGCUAUGUUCGUGCACCUUCAGAUUCCAUCUACCUCUCAAAGCCCCAGACUCCUACCCCAGGCAAGGUCCUAUUCAGCUACUGUACUCCCAAGCCCAGUUAAUACCCCCAUCAAAUGGUAACAGACGCAUUUACACAAUUACUAACUGUGCCUGAAGAAUUCUCCCAGGCCACCAGGUAAUGUUUCUUCAAGAACUUUACUCGGCUAUACCUUAAGACCUUAAGAUAUAUCGGCAAAGAGGAGCUAUUCUGGUGCGAAGGGGGCUCCUAGCAGUGUCAAAGGACAAGCAGAGGUUUAGGACAGCAAAGACUGGGUCUGCCAGCAGGAGUCUUGGCAGCCUUUGAGUGUAGCUUUGAUCUAGUGGUGGGGACGGGAGCUCUACUGCAUGAGCAUGCACAGUGGGGCCACACGCACACAAGGUGCCUGGGAAGCACCUGCCUUGAGUGUGGGGGAUGGGAUGGGAGGUAGAGCAUGGCAGUGUCAAAACAACGAUUUUUUUUUUUUUUUUAAAGAGGGACAGCUGGGCUGGAUGCGGUGGCUCACGCCUGUAAUCCCAGCACUUUGGGAGGCCAAGGAGGGUAGAUCACUUGAGGUCAGGAGUUCGAGACCAGCCUGACCAACGUGGUGAAACCCCGUUGCUACUAAAAAUACAAAAAUUGGCCGGGCAUGGUGCCGCGCACCUGUAAUCCCAGCUACCUGGGAGGCUGAGGCAGGAGAAUGGCUUGAACGCAGAGGCGGAGGUUGCAGUGAGCUGAGACUGUGCCACCGCACUCCAGCCUGGGCGACAAGGGCGAAACUCCAUCUCAAAAAAAAAAAAACAAAAAAAAAGAGGGACAGCUGAGCCCAUGUGAAUGUGAAGGCUGAAUUGAAGGACGUCAUGGAAAGUGACAGCUGGAUUUCCAAAAGAUAGGAAAUAUACUUUGACCACUAAACCAACGUUGCAACAGAGGCAAGCACAGGUUUGAUCAGAUGAGCCUGAGAACCUCUGGUGGAGUCUGGGCUCUGCAGGUCUAAGAGGCCACCGCAGUGACAUGAAAUCAGCUGCUCCCAAGAACACACUUUGAGCAAAGCCCCCUUCUAGGACAUACUAUGGUCCUGUGGGCCAAAUCCAGCCUGCUGCCUACUUUUAUAUGGCCCUUGAGCUCAGAAUGGUUUUUGAUAAGAAAUGCUACCUUUGAACUCUAAUUAGGCAAAAUGUCAACUCUCCCCCACAACAAUCCAUUCUUCUCAUUAGUAGACCUGUAUUACAUUUAAAAAGUAUACCCUUUCAUUACUACUAUAUUAAAAUUUUGUCAGUAAAAUGUGUGGAAAUGUGUGGAAUACUUUCACACUAUUCUUAAUUUGUACUCCUGGCCUGCAAAGCCUAAAAUACUAUCUGUCCCUUUACGGAAAUUGUUUGCUGACUCCUGCCCUAGAGUCUUCAUGAGAAGUAAUUGUUGCUCUUGAGAUGAGAGAAACACAGGCAGAUUCCCAGAAAGUGAAUCAUGAGCAUAUUCAUAGAAACUGACGUGUUAAGGUACAUUCAGAUCUGGCAUCUGACUUCUUAAUGGGGUGAUUACCCAGUGCUUUUUAUUAUUUUGAAAAGUCAAGUUCUUUUACUUCUCACAAAUACUUAACAUCAUAAAGCAUUUAUAAAGUACAAAGUCUCCUGCUAGAAAAAGGCAUGUUGGACAUUAACUCUGUGCUUAAGCAGCUUGCAUUAUUAAAAAAUAUCUACAACAGAAAGGGAAAGGCCAACUCUCUUUUGCAACACUUACAUUUUUAAGGCUUAUGAAACUGACAAAACUUCUGAGGAAACACACGACUUCAAGGACAUUCUCUUGUAAAUUACAGCAACAGCAGCAGCAGCAUUUUUAACCAGAUGACCAUUUGAGAUAACUUAAACUGCUGGAAAGGUAUUUUAAGCACAGCUGUGAUGCCAAAAGAAGGUACCAAAGGCAGAGCUUUGGUAGAACACAAUACAUUACAAAAGAUGAAAGUCUAAAGUGAUGACAAUAAUAAAUUCCUGUUUUCCAGAAAAUCGGCAUUUUUAGGAGUUCUAAAGUUAAUGCACUUAAAAUACUUUUGAUCAUAUUUUUCCCAAGCUUUUACAUAUUAAGAAAUUUUCAGACACCCAAAAUUUGCUUUAUAAGUAGUUCUUAGAAAGACUAAAGGAGCUGUAUAGUUAUUUUAAAAUCCACCCUAAGUGAUGUGUAAGUUACUUAGCUGGCAGCUUCAAUUUGUAAUAUGCACUCCCCAAAAAAGCAGGGGGAGCAUCAGCUAUAAUUUUAAUAACAGCUCUGCCCCGCCACAUAUCUUUUUGCAUGGGCUGGGAAGCAUGCUCACCCUGUGCUAAGAGCUUAAGCUUUGGAGUCCUGUUUAGAUAAAGCACUUACAUUUAAAAAUGAAGUAAAUAACUUAAUGUGUAAGUAGAAAAAGCUCCCAGCUUAGUUAUAAAAUAUGACAUACCAAGUGAACCUAGAGCUGCCUAAAUAAGUGUUUUACAUUUUCCAGCAGGCUGAACUAUGAAAAGCAACUAGAGGACAUUCUCCCCCUUGAAGAUAAUCACUUUUAUUGUUGCCGGGUCAAAGAUUCAGAUUCCACGCAGCAACCUCUGACUAAAGAACAGCAAGUCCUUUCAGGUCAGAAAGUCCAAUAUGCAGCCCCCUCAGAAGCAUAGCAUAAUAGUCCUAAAAUAACAAGCAUACAUGUAGCUUUCUUAAUUUGCCCUGCUGGGUUCCUGUAAUAAGUACUUAACAACUGUAGGCUCUGAGCAGCUCAGCAGACAUCAACAAGACCAUUUGCCAGAUGAUUUAGCAAACAAAUUUCCGAGCAUCUCAUGCUUAUGUUGAGUGCGUGACAUUAGCAAACAUGCAGGGACUUAGAGAUAAUAAUAGUAGAUAGGAAUUUUACAAAUUAAAAAGAGAGAGAAAGAAAGAACGGGAAUUUUGAAGUCUAGAGAAUUUAGGCUGAUAUGCCAAAUUCUCUGGCUAGAAUGAAGUCCCCCAGAUGAAUACUCAGUAACUUCUGCUAAUUUUUUACUCCUUGAGCAAAUAAUCUGAAAUUGAGUUAUUGGGAAGGGACAAAAACUCUGGAAUGACUUCCAGGGGAGGAAGAAAAGAAUAGAAACCACCUUAUUUUUUAGCACAAGUAACUGACAUGAAGCAAGCACAAAACACGAAAGGUUCUCAGUAAAUAUUUAUUGAAUGAAUGACUCCAUGUCUAUGACACGCAUGAGGAAUUGACAUCUCCAUAAAGAAAGCUAGCAGAUUCUCAACAAAUCAUAGGGGUUAGGUAAGCGGGUAGGGCGAAGGCAUUCAUCAAGGAAUCCCUCUCCAGUGUCAGGAAUCCAAGGCUCAGAGAGGGAGACAUUCUCGUGAAUCCAUCAGCAGCCCCCUGGCCCAUAACAGACUCCUUGAGAUGCUUCUAAGUGAGAGGGAAUCCAGGUGGCAAUGGCACUUACCAUUUUAAGAGCUGGAGCAAUCCUGAGGCUCUGUGGGGAAAGCAAUCAUCCCCAAAACAGGAAAACAAAUCUGACAAUAGAGCAGGGCUGGUCCUCAAUAGCCUGGGCAUGAGGAGCCAGGAAACCUGCUCUGAGGAGGGAGGUAAUUAUCCCAUCACUUCAGGUCACAGGGAAAUUCUAUUCUGUUUUCCGAGGCAACAUUUUUAACACUUACACAGACAUUUUAAAUGUGAACAACUCAAGCAAUCAUCCUAUUAUAUCUGUUAGUUUAGCUGAUUUCUUUCUUUUUUUUUUUUAAUUUUACAGAUUUCUUCUUUCGGUGGAUCGUGUAAAUUAGUGAGUUGCUUUCACGUCUUUUGGCCAGCUUCAGAGAAGAAUGAAGUACCCAAUGCUUGGUGAGAGGCAGUCCAUGUUCCGGAUGUAAAGCACUUCUCACUAUAUUAAUUGUCCGCUGGCUUAAUUUUUUCAUAUUCUGUCGAAUGCACUUUGCCUGCGUGUACGAAGGCAGCUUCCUCAUCAGAUGUGAGUUGGGAGCAUCCACAUGUACUCCACUGAUGCUCCCCAAACUUCCAAGAUAAAAAUUUCCACAAGGGGAAGAUAGCAGUCAAAUGUGAGAAGAAUAAUUUGCAAAUAGAUAAAUACGCAAAUAAAUAAAACUGUUCAUGGAGUUGUCUACUGGAAAACGAUGUGCCAAGGGCACAAUGAGCGAAAGUGAAGCUUGACAAUGAGUUAGGUCGCCAGAUGUGGCGCGGUGAUUUGGGGGGGCCCAGGGGAGCACCCAUGAGGAGAAAGGCUGGGUGUAAAUCAGUCAUAGCAACGCUCCACUGCACCUGGGGGGCCCUGAGGAAAUACGUUAGUGGUGAAUCAAGAGCCAGGCUCCAAGGCCCUGAGGCCAGUGUGCUGGGAGAGGGGCGUGUCAGAGGCACAUGGGAGAGGUGGGCCUGAAGACAGAGAGAAGCUCUAAGUCAAGCAAAGACCCAGGUUUCUAGAAGUGGUCAUGCAAAUAGCUGAGGUUCGCAGAUUCUAUUAUUUAAUAAUUAAAUGUAAAGAAGCAUUUAGCUUACGUCAACUAUUUUAGUUAGGAGAGCAAUAGUCACAAAGCAGCAGUUGUGAAAUUUAUAUGGAUUGGAAAAGGGUGUGAUAGACACGGGGUGGAAGAGUUUCCAUUUGUUUUGUUUUAAGCCACGGUCAAUGUGGGCUUUCAAAGUCAGAUGCCGAAGGAGGAAUUAAAUUAUCCAGUGAGUAUUAGAGAGUUAUUCUCAAACCGUAUUUUACUGUAAGAUGGGGUUAUUUUAAAUUCAGAAAAGCUAAUGAGCAUAAAGAAGACUGCAAAUCUUCUGGGACCAUGUGUCAGCUGAUCCACAGCUGCUGCAACCGAAAAGUCACAAAGCUUGCUGGGAAAUGGAGAACAAUGCAGACUCAGUUGUCAUGAAUAUCUUAUGUGAAGUUACUUUUUAGAGAAAUCUCCAAAUGCAAUCUCUAUAGGCAAACAUAUACAUUUGUAUAUAGAAAGAGUAAAGCUGUAAUCUUCAUUGAACACAGAGAUUUGUUUCUUUUGGGUUUUUUUAAAUUUGCAUUUCAUUGUUUUUCAUGAAAAUGAAUUUAAUGCUUGAAUUCUGUACAAGCAUCACAGGAAAAGGCUAUCAGGAAUCUGCAAGAGCCAUACAAGGUGUCCCUUAGAUAAAUAAUGGUCAGGAAAGGAAAUGUGUGAAUGAAAAGACCACGAUGUGCUGACUACGUUGAGGCACUGAGCAGAACAGACAGUGGGAGGCAACGACUGAGACAACCUGAGUUGAAAAAUAGUGUCUGGAAGACGCAGGGGUGUAUACAGUGUCUAAUAAAAUUCUGCAAAGAAGCUCAAAA